rnacentral:rRNA from 1 species
UAGGGAAUCUUCGGCAAUGGACGGAAGUCUGACCGAGCAACGCCGCGUGAGUGAAGAAGGUUUUCGGAUCGUAAAGCUCUGUUGUAAGAGAAGAACGAGUGUGAGAGUGGAAAGUUCACACUGUGACGGUAUCUUACCAGAAAGGGACGGCUAACUACGUGCCAGCAGCCGCGGUAAUACGUAGGUCCCGAGCGUUGUCCGGAUUUAUUGGGCGUAAAGCGAGCGCAGGCGGUUAGAUAAGUCUGAAGUUAAAGGCUGUGGCUUAACCAUAGUAGGCUUUGGAAACUGUUUAACUUGAGUGCAAGAGGGGAGAGUGGAAUUCCACGUGUAGCGGUGAAAUGCGUAGAUAUAUGGAGGAACACCGGUGGCGAAAGCGGCUCUCUGGCUUGUAACUGACGCUGAGGCUCGAAAGCGUGGGGAGCAAACAGGAUUAGAUACCCUGGUAGUCCACGCUGUAAACGAUGAGUGCUAGGUGUUAGACCCUUUCCGGGGUUUAGUGCCGUAGCUAACGCAUUAAGCACUCCGCCUGGGGAGUACGACCGCAAGGUUG